GUCCAUGUAGCUUAAAAUCCAAAGCAAGGCACUGAAAAUGCCUAAAUGGGUCCAACCGACCCCACAGACA
rnacentral:tRNA from 1 species